rnacentral:rRNA from 1 species
GACGAACGCUGGCGGCGUGCUUAACACAUGCAAGUCGAGCGGUAAGGCCCUUUGGGGUACACGAGCGGCGAACGGGUGAGUAACACGUGGGUGACCUGCCUUCAGCUUCGGGAUAAGCCUGGGAAACUGGGUCUAAUACCGGAUAGGACCUUCUCCUGCAUGGGGGUUGGUGGAAAGUUUUUUCGGCUGGAGAUGGGCCCGCGGCCUAUCAGCUUGUUGGUGGGGUGAUGGCCUACCAAGGCGACGACGGGUAGCCGGCCUGAGAGGGCGACCGGCC